rnacentral:rRNA from 1 species
UAGCCUUGACAUUGAUUGAACGGACCAGAGAUGGACCGGUGCCCUUCGGGGAACAUGAAAACAGGUGCUGCACGGCUGUCGUCAGCUCGUGUCGUGAGAUGUUGGGUUAAGUCCCGCAACGAGCGCAACCCUCGUCUUUAGUUGCCAGCAGGUUAAGCUGGGCACUCUAAAGAGACUGCCUUCGCAAGGAGGAGGAAGGUGAGGACGACGUCAAGUCAUCAUGGCCCUUACGGGAUGGGCUACACACGUGCUACAAUGGCGUAUACAGAGUGCUGCGAGACCGCGAGGUGGAGCGAAUCACACAAAGUACGUCGUAGUCCGGAUCGGAGUCUGCAACUCGACUCCGUGAAGUCGGAAUCGCUA